UUGACCUCGGAUCAGGUAGGACUACCCGCUGAACUUAAGCAUAUCAAUAAGCGGAGGAAAAGAAACCAACAGGGAUUGCCUCAGUAACGGCGAGUGAAGCGGCAACAGCUCAGAUUUGGAAUCUGGCCCCCAGGGCCCGAGUUGUAAUCUGGAGAGGAUGCUUCUGGCGCGGCGCCUUCCGAGUUCCCUGGAACGGGACGCCAGAGAGGGUGAGAGCCCCGUACGGUCGGACGCCUAGCCUCUGUGAAGCUCCUUCGACGAGUCGAGUAGUUUGGGAAUGCUGCUCAAAAUGGGAGGUAAAUUUCUUCUAAAGCUAAAUACCGGCCAGAGACCGAUAGCGCACAAGUAGAGUGAUCGAAAGAUGAAAAGCACUUUGAAAAGAGGGUUAAACAGUACGUGAAAUUGUUGAAAGGGAAGCGCCCGUGGCCAGACUUGCGCCCCGCGGAUCACCCGGCGUUCUCGCCGGUGCACUCUGCGAGGCGCAGGCCAGCAUCGGUUCUCCCAGGGGGACAAAGGCUGCGGGAACGUAGCUCCUACGGGAGUGUUAUAGCCCGCUGCGCCAUGCCCCUGGGGGGACCGAGGACCGCGCUUCGGCAAGGAUGCUGGC
rnacentral:rRNA from 1 species